AACGGAAUCCAUGUGGUGGUAACACCGCGGAAGAUUUAGUGGCGAACGGGUGAGGAACACGUGAGGAACCUGCCCCAAACUUUGGGAUAACAGUUGGAAACGACUGCUAAUACCAGAUGCCGUUACUUUGUCGCAUGGCGAGGUAACGAAAGUUUUUCGGUUUGGGAGGGCCUCGCGGCCUAUCAGCUUGUUGGUGAGGUAAUGGCUCACCAAGGCAACGACGGGUAGCUGGUCUGAGAGGAUGAUCAGCCACACUGGGACUGAGACACGGCCCAGACUCC
rnacentral:rRNA from 2 species